rnacentral:rRNA from 1 species
UACAGAGGUGGCAAGCGUUGUUCGGAAUUACUGGGCGUAAAGGGCGCGUAGGCGGCCGCCUAAGUCAGACGUGAAAUCCCCGGGCUUAACCUGGGAACUGCAUUUGUGACUGCAAGGCUGGAGUACGGUAGAGGGGGAUGGAAUUCCGCGUGUAGCAGUGAAAUGCGUAGAUAUGCGGAGGAACACCAGUGGCGAAGGCGGCUCACUGGUCCGGUACUGACGCUGAGGUGCGAAAGCGUGGGGAGCAAACAGG